UACAGAGGGUGCAAGCGUUAAUCGGAAUUACUGGGCGUAAAGCGCGCGUAGGUGGUUUGUUAAGUUGAAUGUGAAAGCCCCGGGCUCAACCUGGGAACUGCAUCCAAAACUGGCAAGCUAGAGUACGGUAGAGGGUGGUGGAAUUUCCUGUGUAGCGGUGAAAUGCGUAGAUAUAGGAAGGAACACCAGUGGCGAAGGCGACCACCUGGAUUGAUACUGACACUGAGGUGCGAAAGCGUGGGGAGCAAACAGG
rnacentral:rRNA from 1 species